GGGGGGAUUGCUCAGUGGUAGAGUGCAUGCCUGGCAUGCACAAGAUCCUGGAUUCAAACCCCAGCGCCCCUG
rnacentral:tRNA from 1 species